GAUGAACGCUGGCGGCGUGCCUAAUACAUGCAAGUCGAGCGAACGGACGAGAAGCUUGCUUCUCUGAUGUUAGCGGCGGACGGGUGAGUAACACGUGGAUAACCUACCUAUAAGACUGGGAUAACUUCGGGAAACCGGAGCUAAUACCGGAUAAUAUUUUGAACCGCAUGGUUCAAAAGUGAAAGACGGUCUUGCUGUCGCUUAUAGAUGGAUCCGCGCUGCAUUAGCUAGUUGGUAAGGUAACGGCUUACCAAGGCAACGAUGCAUAGCCGACCUGAGAGGGUGAUCGGCCACACUGGAACUGAGACACGGUCCAGACUCCUACGGGAGGCAGCAGUAGGGAAUCUUCCGCAAUGGGCGAAAGCCUGACGGAGCAACGCCGCGUGAGUGAUGAAGGUCUUCGGAUCGUAAAACUCUGUUAUUAGGGAAGAACAUAUGUGUAAGUAACUGUGCACAUCUUGACGGUACCUAAUCAGAAAGCCACGGCUAACUACGUGCCAGCAGCCGCGGUAAUACGUAGGUGGCAAGCGUUAUCCGGAAUUAUUGGGCGUAAAGCGCGCGUAGGCGGUUUUUUAAGUCUGAUGUGAAAGCCCACGGCUCAACCGUGGAGGGUCAUUGGAAACUGGAAAACUUGAGUGCAGAAGAGGAAAGUGGAAUUCCAUGUGUAGCGGUGAAAUGCGCAGAGAUAUGGAGGAACACCAGUGGCGAAGGCGACUUUCUGGUCUGUAACUGACGCUGAUGUGCGAAAGCGUGGGGAUCAAACAGGAUUAGAUACCCUGGUAGUCCACGCCGUAAACGAUGAGUGCUAAGUGUUAGGGGGUUUCCGCCCCUUAGUGCUGCAGCUAACGCAUUAAGCACUCCGCCUGGGGAGUACGACCGCAAGGUUGAAACUCAAAGGAAUUGACGGGGACCCGCACAAGCGGUGGAGCAUGUGGUUUAAUUCGAAGCAACGCGAAGAACCUUACCAAAUCUUGACAUCCUUUGACAACUCUAGAGAUAGAGCCUUCCCCUUCGGGGGACAAAGUGACAGGUGGUGCAUGGUUGUCGUCAGCUCGUGUCGUGAGAUGUUGGGUUAAGUCCCGCAACGAGCGCAACCCUUAAGCUUAGUUGCCAUCAUUAAGUUGGGCACUCUAAGUUGACUGCCGGUGACAAACCGGAGGAAGGUGGGGAUGACGUCAAAUCAUCAUGCCCCUUAUGAUUUGGGCUACACACGUGCUACAAUGGACAAUACAAAGGGCAGCGAAACCGCAAGGUCAAGCAAAUCCCAUAAAGUUGUUCUCAGUUCGGAUUGUAGUCUGCAACUCGACUACAUGAAGCUGGAAUCGCUAGUAAUCGUAGAUCAGCAUGCUACGGUGAAUACGUUCCCGGGUCU
rnacentral:rRNA from 1 species